GGGCCCAUCGUCUAGCCUGGUCCAGGACACCUCCCUUUCAAGGAGGACACAUGGGUUCGAAUCCCAUUGGGCUCA
rnacentral:tRNA from 1 species